rnacentral:rRNA from 1 species
AGUGAACGCUGGCGGUAGGCCUAACACAUGCAAGUCGAACGGCAGCACAGUAAGAGCUUGCUCUUACGGGUGGCGAGUGGCGGACGGGUGAGGAAUACAUCGGAAUCUACUUUUUCGUGGGGGAUAACGUAGGGAAACUUACGCUAAUACCGCAUACGACCUACGGGUGAAAGCAGGGGAUCUUCGGACCUUGCGCGAUUGAAUGAGCCGAUGUCGGAUUAGCUAGUUGGCGGGGUAAAGGCCCACCAAGGCGACGAUCCGUAGCUGGUCUGAGAGGAUGAGAAGCCACACUGGAACUGAGACACGGUCCAGACUCCUACGGGAGGCAGCAGUGGGGAAUAUUGGACAAUGGGCGCAAGCCUGAUCCAGCCAUACCGCGUGGGUGAAGAAGGCCUUCGGGUUGUAAAGCCCUUUUGUUGGGAAAGAAAAGCAGCAGGUUAAUACCCCGCUGUUCUGACGGUACCCAAAGAAUAAGCACCGGCUAACUUCGU